rnacentral:rRNA from 1 species
GACGAACGCUGGCGGCAUGCCUAAUACAUGCAAGUCGAGCGAACAGAUGAAGUGCUUGCACUUCUGACGUUAGCGGCGAACGGGUGAGUAACACGUAAGGAAUCUACCUAUAAGCGGGGGAUAACAUUCGGAAACGGGUGCUAAUACCGCAUAAUAUCUUCUUCCGCAUGGAAGAAGAUUGAAAGACGGCUCUGCUGUCACUUAUAGAUGACCUUGCGGUGCAUUAGUUAGUUGGUGGGGUAAUGGCCUACCAAGACGAUGAUGCAUAGCCGACCUGAGGGGGUGAUGGGCCACAUUGGGACUGAGACACGGCCCAAACUCCUACGGGAGGGAGCAGUAGGGAAUCUUCCGCAAUGGGCGAAAGCCUGACGGAGCAAUGCCGCGUGAGUGAAGAAGGCCUUCGGGUCGUAAAACUCUGUUAUAAGAGAAGAACAAAUUGUAGAGUAACUGCUACAGUCUUGACGGUAUCUUAUCAGAAAGCCACGGCUAACUACGUGCCAGCCGCCGCCGUAA